GCCAAUGUGGUGUAAUGGUUUGCAUGUUGAACUAUGAUUCUGGAGAAUAGGGUUUGAAUCACUGCUGAGGCA